GGAUCUAUAAGCUAUAAAUAGUAAGAGCUCUCAAUAAAGAGGUUGAUGGUUCGAAUCCAUCUAGAUCCA